UAUCACAGUCAUGCUAAAGAGC
rnacentral:miRNA from 1 species